rnacentral:rRNA from 1 species
ACUCCUACGGGAGGCAGCAGUGGGGAAUAUUGCACAAUGGGCGCAAGCCUGAUGCAGCCAUGCCGCGUGUAUGAAGAAGGCCCUUCGGGUUGUAAAGUACUUUCUAGCAGUGAGGAAGGUGGGUAUGUUAAUAGCAUACUCAUUUUGACGUUUAGCUGCAGAAGAAGCACCGGCUAACUCCGUGCCAGCAGCCGCGGUAAUACGGAGGGUGCGAGCGUUAAUCGGAAUUACUGGGCGUAAAAGCGCAUGCAGGUGGUUUGUUAAGUCAGAUGUGAAAGCCGGGGCUCAACCUCGGAAUUGCAUUUGUAAAACUGGCAAACUAGAGUACUGUAGAGGGGGGUAGAAUUUCAGGUGUAGCGGUG